GGAUGUGAGGGAGAUCUGGCUGUGAAAUUUGUCAUCCCAUUGAUUGCUAGGGUUGAUCCAGCUGAUCUGGUUUAUUAGGCAAAUGUUCCCUGCCUCCCUUACUGCUCUAUGUGCAUCCUUCCCAAAGCUGCUCACUCAGUUAGAGAGGAUGAGUAUCCCCACUGAAGGAGGACCAUUCUUCGGUCUUGGAUAUCUGAACCUCCAAACAAGCUAUCUCAAGAAAUCCAACUGCUCCAGGAACACCAUACUGAAGAGGUCAUGGGUAGGUCU
rnacentral:snRNA from 1 species